rnacentral:ribozyme from 1 species
GACUGAAUGGAAACGAAAUAUGUGAAAAAGGAGUGAAGAGAGUGAGAGAGAUAUUAAGUGAGAAAGAGAAACAACUUGGAGAUAUGGAGGAUAAUGAUGAGGAGGGAGAGGAUGAUAUGGAAGAUGAAGAAGAAGAA